CCCAAGGCAAAUCUCUGACUUAUACACAACCCUGACGACACAUACCUCUCAAAUCAACCUCAACUACAUCGCCACAUGGGAACGAGACCUUGGACCACCAGAAGAAGCGAGCGACUGGGCAGAAAUCUGGGAAGCAACGAACUCCCUGACAGUAUGCGUUACGCACAAAGAACAAGCAUACAAAACGUUAUUCCGCUGGUACCUGACACCGCACAGACUCCA